UAAUACGAAGGGGGCUAGCGUUGUUCGGAAUCACUGGGCGUAAAGGGCGCGUAGGCGGCUGUUCCAAGUCGGGGGUGAAAGCCUGUGGCUCAACCACAGAAUGGCCUUCGAUACUGGACGGCUGGAGACCGGAAGAGGUGAGUGGAACUGCGAGUGUAGAGGUGAAAUUCGUAGAUAUUCGCAAGAACACCAGUGGCGAAGGCGGCUCACUGGUCCGGUUCUGACGCUGAGGCGCGAAAGCGUGGGGAGCAAACAGGAUUAGAUACCCUGGUAGUCCACGCCGUAAACGAUGGAUGCUAGCCGUUGGCGGGCUUGCUCGUCAGUGGCGCAGCUAACGCUUUAAGCAUCCCGCCUGGGGAGUACGGUCGCAAGAUUA
rnacentral:rRNA from 1 species